GCUUAUGGCUUUCGCUAUUUGCAAUUAAAAGGGAAACGGGUGUAAGUCCCGUACAGUCCCGCUGCUGUAAGGUUUCAUAUUAAACAUUUCAGUAAUUACCUCCUGCCACUAAUGGUUUUUCGAUAUUGGAGAAUGAUUGGGAAGGCUGCUCGAAAUGGAAAUCAAGUCAGAAGACCUGCCAUUCUUUA
rnacentral:ncRNA from 1 species